UGGAUAAGCUUGGGAAACUGGGUCUAAUACCGGAUAGGAGCCAUCUUUAGUGUGGUGGUUGGAAAGUUUUUCGGUGUAGGAUGAGCUCGCGGCCUAUCAGCUUGUUGGUGGGGUAAUGGCCUACCAAGGCGGCGACGGGUAGCCGGCCUGAGAGGGUGUACGGCCACAUUGGGACUGAGAUACGGCCCAG
rnacentral:rRNA from 1 species